rnacentral:rRNA from 1 species
GAUAGUGUCAAAGUUUGGCUACUAGCUUCUAAAAUACAACUACAUUUGCCAAUUCGACCUCAAAUCAGGUAGGACUACCCGCUGAACUUAAGCAUAUCAAUAAGCGGAGGAAAAGAAACUAACAAGGAUUCCCCUAGUAACUGCGAGUGAACCGGGAAAAGCUCAAAUUUUGAAUCUGGCAGUCUUUUAUUGGCUGUCCGAGUUGUAAUCUAGAGAAGUGUUUUCCGCGCUGGAUCCGUGUACAAGUCUCCUGGAAGGGAGCAUCAUAGAGGGUGACAAUCCCGUCUUUGACAUGGACUUUUUACCAGGGCUAUGUGAUGCACUCUCGACGAGUCGAGUUGUUUGGGAAUGCAGCUCAAAUAGGGUGGUAAACUCCAUCUAAAGCUAAAUACAGGCGAGAGACCGAUAGUGAACAAGUACCGUGAGGGAAAGAUGAAAAGAACUUUGGAAAGAGAGUUAAACAGUACGUGAAAUUGCUGAAAGGGAAACGCUCAAAGUCAGUCACGUCGUUCGGGGAUCAACCCUGCUUUGUGGGGUGUACUUCCCUGAUUCGAUGGGUCAGCAUCGAUUUCGGCUGUUGGAUAAGAUCGGGAGGAAUGUGAGACUCUUCGGAGUGUGUUAUAGCCUCUCGGGAUGGAUACAACGGGAUUUCGGAAUCGAGGGAAAAAACAUGUUUCUUUUUUGCAUGUGAUGCUGGCAUAAUG